UAAAGGACAAAGCAUUAAAGUGGGAUUUGCUCUGCCGUGCCGGGCUAACUGUAACUGUAAAUUGUACACGCCGUGUUGCGCCUUCACCCAAGGGUGAACGGAAUCGUUCCACCCUCCUUGAAUAAACUUUCCAUCCCAAUCGUGUGCUGUGUGAAAAUCACACAGAAAAACAAGAGCAGAGUUUUAGUUUUUAUUCGCAACAGCCAUUUGCUUAGUGCCACAGCAAAGCCGCGGGCGUGGCGUCCACGGACACGGACACGGCCAGGGACACAGAGACAGCGGCAGCCGCAGCAGCAGCCGUUGCAACGGGACUAUUUCACAUUUUGUUCUGGCUGUGUUAAUUUGUCGUGCAUUUGCAGCAACUGUGAAAAAUAACUGCGAAAACUUCAACUCGCAAAAGAGGAAAAGAGUUUUUUAGCUGCCACAGUUGCGAGCCACUGCAGGACGCCGGCUGCCCAUGUGAGAUGCAUGGGAAAUCUUUGUCAAGUGAGAGCAAACGAAACGUUGGGCAAUUAAAGGAUUAAGCGAGGACGUGAACAGGACCUCGACUGAGGGGCUGGAAAAAAUUUGGGGAAUCAGCGCCAACAGCAUC